AGAGUUUGAUCAUGGCUCAGAUUGAACGCUGGCGGCAUGGCUAAAACAUGCAAGUCGUACGCGAAAGGGGGCAACCCCGAGUAGAGUGGCGAAAGGGCGAGUAAUGCGUUUCUAACGUACCCCGGGCUCGCGGAUAGCUCCCCGAAAGGGGAAUUAAUACGUGAUGACCCUGCGAGUCCGCAUGGACCUGCAGGCAAAGGGACACCGGCCUGGGAGCGGGGAACGUCCUAUCAGCUAGUUGGUGAGGUAAUGGCUCACCAAGGCAUAGACGGGUAGCGGGUGUGAGAGCACGGCCCGCCGCAUCGGGACUGAGACACUGCCCGGACUCCUACGGGAGGCUGCAGUAACGAAUAUUCCGCAAUGCGCGAAAGCGUGACGGAGCGAUGCCGCGUGCAGGAUGAAGCCCUUCGGGGUGUAAACUGCUGUCAGGGUUUAGCAACGCAAUGAGCAGACCCAGAGGAAGAGGCGGCUAACUCUGUGCCAGCAGCCGCGGUAAUACAGAGGCCUCGAGCGUUAAUCGGAGUCACUGGGCUUAAAGGGUGCGUAGGCCGCCUCGCAAGUGCUUUGUGAAAUCCCACGGCUCAACCGUGGAAUCGCUUGGCAGACUGCGGGGCUUGAGGUCGGUAGGGGCAGCCGGAACUCUAGGUGGAGCGGUGAAAUGCGUAGAUAUCUAGAGGAACGCCAAAGGUGAAGACAGGCUGCUGGGCCGAUUCUGACGCUGAGGCCACGAAAGCGUGGGUAGCGAACGGGAUUAGAUACCCCGGUAGUCCACGCCCUAAACGAUGUGCACUAGAUCGCGGAGGCUCUGACGCCACCGUGGUCGAAGCAAAAGUGUUAAGUGCACCGCCUGGGGAGUACGGUCGCAAGGCUAAAACUCAAAUGAAUUGACGG
rnacentral:rRNA from 1 species